UGAACGCUGGCGGCAGGCUUAACCAUGCAAGUCGAGCGGGGGAAGGUAGCUUGCUACCGGACCUAGCGGCGGACGGGUGAGUAAUGCUUAGGAAUCUGCCUAUUAGUGGGGGACAACAUCUCGAAAGGGAUGCUAAUACCGCAUACGUCCUACGGGAGAAAGCAGGGGAUCUUCGGACCUUGCGCUAAUAGAUGAGCCUAAGUCGGAUUAGCUAGUUGGUGGGGUAAAGGCCUACCAAGGCGACGAUCUGUAGCGGGUCUGAGAGGAUGAUCCGCCACACUGGGACUGAGACACGGCCCAGACUCCUACGGGAGGCAGCAGUGGGGAAUAUUGGACAAUGGGGGGAACCCUGAUCCAGCCAUGCCGCGUGUGUGAAGAAGGCUUAUGGUUGUAAAGCACUUUAAGCGAGGAGGAGGCUACUUUAGUUAAUACCUAGAGAUAUGGCUUACUCGCAGAAUAAGCACCGGUAACCUUGCACACCCGGGAA
rnacentral:rRNA from 1 species